rnacentral:rRNA from 1 species
GACACGGUCCAGACACCUACGGGUGGCAGCAGUCGAGAAUCAUUCACAAUGGGGGAAACCCUGAUGGUGCGACGCCGCGUGGGGGAAUGAAGGUCUUCGGAUUGUAAACCCCUGUCAUGUGGGAGCAAAUUAAAAGAUAGUACCACAAGAGGAAGAGACGGCUAACUCUGUGCCAGCAGCCGCGGUAAUACAGAGGUCUCAAGCGUUGUUCGGAAUCACUGGGCGUAAAGCGUGCGUAGGCUGUUUCGUAAGUCGUGUGUGAAAGGCGCGGGCUCAACCCGCGGACGGCACAUGAUACUGCGAGACUAGAGUAAUGGAGGGGGAACCGGAAUUCUCGGUGUAGCAGUGAAAUGCGUAGAUAUCGAGAGGAACACUCGUGGCGAAGGCGGGUUCCUGGACAUUAACUGACGCUGAGGCACGAAGGCCAGGGGAGCGAAAGGGAUUAGAUACCCCUGUAGUCCUGGCAGUAAACGGUGCACGCUUGGUGUGCGGGGAAUCGACCCCCUGCGUGCCGGAGCUAACGCGUUAAGCGUGCCGCCUGGGGAGUACGGUCGCAAGAUUAAAACUCAAAGAAAUUGACGGGGACCCGCACAAGCGGUGGAGUAUGUGGCUUAAUUCGAUGCAACGCGAAGAACCUUACCUGGGCUUGACAUGUAAUGAACAACAUGUGAAAGCAUGCGACUCUUCGGAGGCGUUACACAGGUGCUGCAUGGCCGUCGUCAGCUCGUGUCGUGAGAUGUUUGGUUAAGUCCAGCAACGAGCGCAACCCCUGUUGCCAGUUACCAGCACGUGAAGGUGGGGACUCUGGCGAGACUGCCCAGAUCAACUGGGAGGAAGGUGGGGACGACGUCAGGUCAGUAUGGCCCUUAUGCCCAGGGCUGCACACGUACUACAAUGCCCAGUACAGAGGGGGCCGAAGCCGCGAGGCGGAGGAAAUCCUAAAAACUGGGCCCAGUUCGGACUGUAGGCUGCAACCCGCCUACACGAAGCCGGAAUCGCUAGUAAUGGCGCAUCAGCUACGGCGCCGUGAAUACGUUCCCGGGUCUUGUACACACCGCCCGUCACAUCAUGGAAGCCGGUCGCACCCGAAGUAUCUGAAGCCAACCGCAAGGAGGCAGGGUCCUAAGGUGAGACUGGUAACUGGGAUGAAGUCGUAACAAGGUAGCCGUAGGGGAACCUGCGGCUG